CCUUGUCUCUAGUUGCUACGAAAGGGCACUCUAGAGAGACUGCCGGUGACAAACCGGAGGAAGGUGGGGAUGACGUCAAGUCCUCAUGGCCCUUAUGGGUAGGGCUUCACACGUCAUACAAUGGUGCAUACAGAGGGUUGCCAAGCCGCGAGGUGGAGCUAAUCCCAGAAAAUGCAUCGUAGUCCGGAUCGUAGUCUGCAACUCGACUACGUGAAGCUGGAAUCGCUAGUAAUCGCGGAUCAGCAUGCCGCGGUGAAUACGUUCCCGGGUCUUGUACACACCGCCCGUCACACCAUGGGAGUGGGCUUUACCAGAAGUAGUUAGCCUAACCGCGAGGAGGGCGAUUACCACGGUAGGGUUCAUGACUGGGGUGAAGUCGUAACAAGGUAGCCGUAA
rnacentral:rRNA from 1 species